rnacentral:rRNA from 1 species
GAUGAACGCUGGCGGCGUGCCUAAUACAUGCAAGUCGAGCGAACAGACGAGGAGCUUGCUCCUCUGACGUUAGCGGCGGACGGGUGAGUAACACGUGGAUAACCUACCUAUAAGACUGGGAUAACUUCGGGAAACCGGAGCUAAUACCGGAUAAUAUAUUGAACCGCAUGGUUCAAUAGUGAAAGACGGUUUUGCUGUCACUUAUAGAUGGAUCCGCGCCGCAUUAGCUAGUUGGUAAGGUAACGGCUUACCAAGGCAACGAUGCGUAGCCGACCUGAGAGGCUGAUCGGCGACACGGGAACGGAGACACGGUCCAGACUCCUACGGGAGGCAGCAGUAGGGAAUCUUCCGCAAUGGGCGAAAGCCUGACGGAGCAACGCCGCGUGAGUGAUGAAGGUCUUCGGAUCGUAAAACUCUGUUAUUAGGGAAGAACAAAUGUGUAAGUAACUAUGCACGUCUUGACGGUACCUAAUCAGAAAGCCACGGCUAACUACGUG